GUGGGGAAUCUUAGACAAUGGGGGAAACCCUGAUCUAGCCAUGCCGCGUGAGCGAUGAAGGCCUUAGGGUUGUAAAGCUCUUUCAGCUGGGAAGAUAAUGACGGUACCAGCAGAAGAAGCCCCGGCUAACUCCGUGCCAGCAGCCGCGGUAAUACGGAGGGGGCUAGCGUUGUUCGGAAUUACUGGGCGUAAAGCGCGCGUAGGCGGACCAGAAAGUUGGAGGGGAACUCCCAGGGCUCAACGUUGGAACUGCCUUCAAAACUCCUUGUCUGGAUUUCGAGAGAGGUGAGUGGAAUUCCGAGUGUAGAGGUGACAUUCGUAGAUAUUCGGAGGAACACCAGUGGCGAAGGCGUCUCACUGGCUCGAUACUGACGCUGAGGUGCGAAAGCGUGGGGAGCAAACAGGAUUAGAUACCCCGGUAGUCC
rnacentral:rRNA from 1 species